UAUUUUCCGUGAUCGUACAAACUUUGAAUGCGAUUCACCAGGCUGCUUAUUUACUACUUCUAAAGGUUGAACUGCUAAAUAUUUAAAAGGAUGGUUGUGCUUCUUAAGGUGUUGGUAAAUGAUACUUUUGAAUUUAUUGGGUCUUUUAAAACGAUACAGAUGUUCUUGAGUGCGUUUAGAUAAAUAUCGUCCAGUUUCUCCUACGUACUGAAUACCACACCCCGGUUUGUUUCAUGUGAGUAAAUAAAUAAUACUGUUUGUUUUUCAAGUUAUAUCAGUUUCAAAAUUUAAAGAAAAUGUGCGACCAUUAAACGUGGACCUUACCGUAUUGUUGGUUGAAAGACGGGGACAUGUAAGUCAUUUUUUGGCAUGACACUUAUCGAUAGAAGGGUAACCACGUUUUUUAUUGUUAAAAAUGUUAGCGAUGGUAGUAUUUUUAGAUAACCGAUUUUGAAGAUUGAGACGUGUGGAUACCCUUUGAACAAGUUUAGUAUUUAGUAAUUUUCCAUUUCUAAGCUUCAUAAUUGUUUUGUUAGUGAAUUAUAUAAUAAAGGAGCAAAUAUUGGCGUCCAGAAUAUGAACCAG
rnacentral:lncRNA from 1 species